CGAGUUUGAUCAUGGCUCAGAUUGAACGCUGGCGGAAUGCUUUACACAUGCAAGUCGAACGGCAGCACGAGGGCAACCUUGGUGGCGAGUGGCGAACGGGUGAGUAAUACAUCGGAACGUGCCCAGUCGUGGGGGAUAACGUAGCGAAAGCUACGCUAAUACCGCAUACGAUCUAUGGAUGAAAGCGGGGGACCGUAAGGCCUCGCGCGAUUGGAGCGGCCGAUGGCAGAUUAGGUAGUUGGUGGGGUAAAGGCUCACCAAGCCUGCGAUCUGUAGCUGGUCUGAGAGGACGACCAGCCACACUGGAACUGAGACACGGUCCAGACUCCUACGGGAGGCAGCAGUGGGGAAUUUUGGACAAUGGGCGCAAGCCUGAUCCAGCCAUUCCGCGUGCAGGAUGAAGGCCUUCGGGUUGUAAACUGCUUUUGUACGGAACGAAAAGGUUUUCCUUAAUACGGAGAGCUCAUGACGGUACCGUAAGAAUAAGCACCGGCUAACUACGUG
rnacentral:rRNA from 1 species